GCCGCGUGCAGGAUGAAGGCCCUCGGGUCGUAAACUGCUUUUAUUAGCGAAGAAUAUGACGGUAACUAAUGAAUAAGGGUCGGCUAACUACGUGCCAGCAGCCGCGGUCAUACGUAGGACCCAAGCGUUAUCCGGAGUGACUGGGCGUAAAGAGUUGCGUAGGCGGCUCGUUAAGUGAGUAGUGAAAGCUGGUGGCUCAACCAUACAGUCUAUUACUCAAACUGGCGAGCUCGAGAAUGGUAGAGGUAGCUGGAAUUUCUAGUGUAGGAGUGAAAUCCGUAGAUAUUAGAAGGAACACCGAUGGCGUAGGCAGGCUACUGGACCAUUUCUGACGCUAAGGCACGAAAGCGUGGGGAGCGAACCGGAUUAGAUACCCGGGUAGUCCACGCCGUAAACGAUGGAUGCUAGCUGUGGGGGGUAUCGACCCCUUCCGUAGCGAAGCUAACGCGUUAAGCAUCCCGCCUGUGGAGUACGGCCGCAAGGCUAAAACAUAAAGGAAUUGACGGGGCUCCGCACAAGAGGUGGAGCGUGUUCUUUAAUUCGAUGAUAAACGAAGAACCUUACCAGGGCUUGACAUCCCUUGAAUUUUGCCGAAAGGCGAGAGUGCUUUAUUGAACAAGGUGACAGGUGCUGCAUGGCCGUCGUCAGCUCGUGUCGUGAGAUGUUUGGUUAAGUCCAUCAACGAGCGCAACCCUUGUGGCUAGUUGAAUUUUUCUAGUCAAA
rnacentral:rRNA from 1 species